rnacentral:lncRNA from 1 species
CCCUUCCUCAUUCAACAAUUUAGAAAUAUGUCUGCCAUCUUCUCCUAAUGAGUGCCUCAUCCAUCAACACUUUUCCAUCCUCGUCCUUAAUGCACUUAACUUGGUCUAAGUUACGGGCUUUACUCUCCCUCACCUUGGCUAACCGAUACAACCUGUUGUCCUCACCUUUGCCUUCAAGCUCCUCGUACAAACGGGCGAACGCUGCGUUCUUAUCCGUCGUAACUGCUAACUUCGCCCUUUCUUUGCCUUUAUGUAACACUCCCGAUAAUUUCUUUUUUCAUCCUCG